rfam:Ictidomys tridecemlineatus contig060517, whole genome shotgun sequence.
UGGGUUGUGGCUCAGUGGUAGAGCGCUCGCCUAUCAUGCACAAGACACUGGGUUCGAUCCUCAGCACCGCAU